rnacentral:rRNA from 1 species
UACAGAGGUCCCAAGCGUGUUCGGUGAUUCAUUGGGCGUAAAGGGUGCGUAGGUGGCGCUGUAAGUCGGGUGUGAAAUUUCGGAGCUUAACUCCGAAACUGCAUUCGAUACUGCGGUGCUUGAGGACUGGAGAGGAGACUGGAAUUCAUGGUGUAGCAGUGAAAUGCGUAGAGAUCAUGAGGAAGACCAGUGGCGAAGGCGGGUCUCUGGACAGUUCCUGACACUGAGGCACGAAGGCCAGGGGAGCAAACGGG